rnacentral:rRNA from 1 species
UACGAAGGGUGCAAGCGUUACUCGGAAUUACUGGGCGUAAAGCGUGCGUAGGUGGUUUGUUAAGUCUGAUGUGAAAGCCCUGGGCUCAACCUGGGAAUUGCAUUGGAUACUGGCAGGCUAGAGUGCGGUAGGAGGAUGGCGGAAUUCCCGGUGUAGCAGUGAAAUGCGUAGAGAUCGGGAGGAACAUCUGUGGCGAAGGCGGCCAUCUGGACCAGCACUGACACUGAGGCACGAAAGCGUGGGGAGCAAACAGG